rnacentral:rRNA from 1 species
AGCCGUAGCGAAAGCGAGUCUGAAUAGGGCGUUUGAGUCGCAUGUUCUAGACCCGAAGCGAAGUGAUCUAUCCAUGGCCAGGUUGAAGCGACGGUAAGACGUCGUGGAGGACCGAACCCACUUCAGUUGAAAAUGGAGGGGAUGAGCUGUGGAUAGGGGUGAAAGGCCAAUCAAACUUCGUGAUAGCUGGUUCUCUCCGAAAUGCAUUUAGGUGCAGCGUUGCGUGUUUCUCGCCGGAGGUAGAGCUACUGGAUGGCCGAUGGGCCUCAACAGGUUACUGACGUCAGCCAAACUCCGAAUGCCGGUGAGUGAGAGCGCAGCAGUGAGACGGUGGGGGAUAAGCUUCAUCGUCGAGAGGGAAACAACCCAGACUACCAACUAAGGUCCCUAAGCGUGUGCUAAGUGGGAAAGGAUGUGGAGUUGCACAGACAACCAGGAGGUUGGCUUAGAAGCAGCCACCCUUGAAAGAGUGCGUAAUAGCUCACUGGUCAAGUGAUUCCGCGCCGACAAUGUAACGGGGCUCAAGCACACCACCGAAGUUGUAGAUUUCGCACUAUAGACAAGCCUUCGUGGUUCAGUCGUGCGGAGUGGUAGGAGAGCGUCGUGUGGCGAGUGAAGCGGCGGAGUGAUCCAGCCGUGGACGCUACACGAGUGAGAAUGCAGGCAUGAGUAGCGAAAGACGGGUGAGAAACCCGUCCUCCGAAAGACCAAGGGUUCCAGGGCCAGGUUAAUCCGCCCUGGGUAAGUCGGGACCUAAGGCGAGGCCGACAGGCGUAGUCGAUGGACAACGGGUUGAUAUUCCCGUACCGGCGAACAACCGCCCAAGCUAAUCCAGUGGUGCUAAGAGUCCUAACCCGGUACAACCGGAUCCCUUCGGGGUGAUGGUGGCCGGUCUAACGCUCGACCCCAUGCUGGUGCGGUUAGCGUAUGAACAGGUGUGACGCAGGAAGGUAGCUGAGCCAGGCGAUGGUAUCCGUAAGGUGAACCUGGUGUAAGGAUGUAGGGCUGACGAUAGGCAAAUCCGUCGUCUGUACGCCUGAGAUCCGACGCGUACCCGUAAGGGGAAAUCAGUGAUCCUAUGCUGCCGAGAAAAGCAUCGACGCGAGGUUGCAGCCGCCCGUACCCGAAACCGACUCAGGUGGUCAGGUAGAGAAUACCAAGGAGAUCGAGAGAAUCGUGGUUAAGGAACUCGGCAAAAUGCCCCCGUAACUUCGGGAGAAGGGGGGCCGGACACGUGACCGGAUU